GACGAACGCUGGCGGCGUGCUUAACACAUGCAAGUCGAACGGAAAGGCCCUGCUUUUGUGGGGUGCUCGAGUGGCGAACGGGUGAGUAACACGUGAGUAACCUGCCCUUGACUUUGGGAUAACUUCAGGAAACUGGGGCUAAUACCGGAUAGGAGCUCCUGCUGCAUGGUGGGGGUUGGAAAGUUUCGGCGGUUGGGGAUGGACUCGCGGCUUAUCAGCUUGUUGGUGGGGUAGUGGCUUACCAAGGCUUUGACGGGUAGCCGGCCUGAGAGGGUGACCGGCCACAUUGGGACUGAGAUACGGCCCAGACUCCUACGGGAGGCAGCAGUGGGGAAUAUUGCACAAUGGGCGGAAGCCUGAUGCAGCAACGCCGCGUGCGGGAUGACGGACUUCGGGUUGUAACCCGCUUUCGCCUGUGACGAAGCGUGAGUGACGGUAAUGGGUAAAGAAGCACCGGCUAACUACGUG
rnacentral:rRNA from 1 species